UAUUUUUCAGAAUUCCACGAUCGAGUUCCUGCCUGUAGGCUCACCAGUCAGUUCUAAUUGUAACAGUAUACUUGGAUAUUCAGUGACACUUUAGCUUGUGACAGCAGUGUAGGUGUAGAACCAUCAAUAAGUGCCACUUUUGAUUCUAACGAAAGCAUAAUUGAAUCAGCAAAUAGUGAAGUUAAAGUACGAGAACUCCAGGAGACAGAAGCCUCUAGUACAUUAUUGACAUUAUUGAAAUCCACCAUUGACGGACGAAUACUACGACCAAUAUUCAGCACUAAAGCAGCCUUUAGGAUUUGAGUUGAUUCUUACAGACUUUGAAUGUGAGCAUCCAGAUGCUAAAAAACUUACAAGCCAAUGGGUUUUAAUUUUUAAGUCAAUUAUUAAUUUAGGAAAAAAGCGAACCUGCUCUUAUAUCAAAAGGAUCAUUGAUAUGCAUAUAACAGAAAACAGAAAUUUAUUUCUUUUAGAAAGUAAGGUUUCCUGCAAAUGCUAUAUCUACCUGCGGCUCUUAUGAUUUUACCGUUGCUGUUUCCAUCUAUCAACCGCCGCAAAGGAACAAAAUCUAUAGAUCAUACCACCAUUGAAAAAUACUCUAAAGCAGUUCAAUUUUUGGUUUAUGCACAGGUUCGAGUAAUUCCUUUAUCGUUACUUUGCAUAUAUUUACGUUGCAAUGGAGCGAUUAUGAAACAUUAUUUACGUAUCGCGUUCGUUGCUUUCCAACAAGAAGAUCUAUUGCGAACAAUUCUGGAACAGCGAGACAAGCGAUUCGAAACUAGCUAAGAGCAAAGAGCAGCCUGUUGUCAUUUUAGUCGGCAACUUGUCCAAUCCUAGGUCAUACGUGAAAGUAAAUGAAAUUUUAUAUGAAUUGGACACACCGCUCAAAGCUGUUCAUGUGUGUUUUAAAUCGUUUUUUGAAUUAUACCAAAGAUGAUCCUUCCUUUGUUUCGGUAAAUGCCAUUUAUUCAGACAUUUUACACGAUCAAAAGGAUUUGCUAAAUGCGGAGUAAGUCAUUUUGAUUAUAUUUAUUUUUAUGUAUAGAAAAUACGAUGUGGUGGUGUGUAUUGUGCGAAAAGUUUUUCAGUCCGAAUGGUUACUUUCUGCAUUUUUCUAUUUAUCAUAGAAAUUUGUCAUUUCAGUGUGUAUUGUGCGUCAGAACAUUCCCAAAUCUAAAACGUUUAAAAAAGCUUGUCUCAUACAAACAUAAGGAUGCUGAUGAUCAAUGUUCCUUGCAGAGCAAUAAUUGCUCCAAACCCGCUACUUCACUAACCAACAAUACUAUGUUAAUAGAAGGUACCCACGACUGCAUGACAGCAGCCAACACUGUUGCAAAUCCCAUUCUUCCAAUUGCGAAAUAUCAGAUGACCGUGAAGUUCUGUAUUUGAAGCUUUUUUGAAAAAUUUAGUGCAACCAACACCUUCCUCGAAAAUAUGCAUACGAAAUUGUAAACGAUGUAAAUAGCUAUUUCGCCAAUGAGGUAAAUUCAUUAAAAGAAGAUGUUUUAGAGAAACUUACACAUCAUAAUCUGCCAUGUAAUAUUUUAUCAGAUUAUCAGACAUUAUCACAAUUUUUAAUAACGUUGCUUCUACUCGGUUAAGCUGAAAAUUAUCUAGUGAAUGUAAAUGCAUUAAAUUCUUUAAAGAGGCGGGCCUUUACAUUGAACCAAUCUCUGUAGUCAUCGGUAGUCGUCAAAAAAUUGUAAAAAAGAAUAAUUUAACAACCACCUCUUAUGUAAAUGCCACCGCCACAUUCAUACCGAUACGUAAAAUUUUACAGAAAAUAUUCGAGGUACCUAAUGUUUUUACUGCUACAUUAGAAUACAUUAAUUAUUUGUGAAACGAAAAAAAUAUCAUUUGUAACUUCAUUCAAGCCAAACUGUGAAAAACUAAAUCAUUUCAUCCUGAUCAGUUAGUAUUACCUUUAUUUCUGUAUUAUGACGACUUUGAGUGCGGAAAUCCACUAGGGAGUCACUCUGAAAUUAACAAAAUUGGCGGCGUUUAUUAUUGUAUUCCUUGUUUACCACCCUAGUUCAGUUCCAAAUUAAACAAUAUAUUUAUGGUUCUCUAGUUUAAAACUCAAGACAGAAAACGUUUUGUAAAUCAAAACAACUUUGAUAUUAUUAUGGAAGAACUACA